GGGGGAAACGCCCGGUCCCAUUCCGAACCCGGAAGCUAAGACCCACAGCGCCGAUGGUACUGCACCCGGGAGGGUGUGGGAGAGUAGGUCACCGCCGGAA
rnacentral:rRNA from 1 species